rnacentral:rRNA from 1 species
AGGAUCAUUACCGAGUUGAUUCGGGCUCCGGCCCGAUCCUCCCACCCUUUGUGUACCUACCUCUGUUGCUUUGGCGGGCCGCGGUCCUCCGCGGCCGCCCCCCUCCCCGGGGGGUGGCCAGCGCCCGCCAGAGGACCAUCAAACUCCAGUCAGUAAACGAUGCAGUCUGAAAAACAUUUAAUAAACUAAAACUUUCAACAACGGAUCUCUUGGUUCUGGCAUCGAUGAAGAACGCAGCGAAAUGCGAUAAGUAAUGUGAAUUGCAGAAUUCAGUGAAUCAUCGAAUCUUUGAACGCACAUUGCGCCCUUUGGUAUUCCGAAGGGCAUGCCUGUUCGAGCGUCAUUACAACCCUCAAGCUCUGCUUGGUAUUGGGCACCGUCCUUUGCGGGCGCGCCUCAAAGACCUCGGCGGUGGCGUCUUGCCUCAAGCGUAGUAGAACAUACAUCUCGCUUCGGAGCGCAGGGCGUCGCCCGCCGGACGAACCUUCUGAACUUUUCUCAAGGUUGACCUCGGAUCAGGUAGGGAUACCCGCUGAACUUAAGCAUAUCAAUAAGCGGAGGAA